GGGUGAGUAUAAUGUGGGAAUCUGCCUUUUGGUCUGGAAUAACACGAGGAAACUUGUGCUAAUACCAGAUAAGCCUUUACAGGGAAAGUUUUAAUGCCAAAGGAUGAGCCCGCACUUGAUUAGCUAGUUGGUAAGGUAAUAGCUUACCAAGGCAACGAUCAAUAGCUGUUCUUAGAGGAAGACCAGCCACAUUGGGACUGAGACACGGCCCAAACUCCUACGGGAGGCAGCAGUGGGGAAUCUUGCACAAUGGGGGAAACCCUGAUGCAGCGAUGCCGCGUGAGUGAAGAAGGCCUUUGGGUUGUAAAACUCUUUCGUCGGGGAAGAAAAUGACUGUACCCGAAUAAGAAGGUCCGGCUAACUUCGUGCCAGCAGCCGCGGUAAUACGAAGGGACCUAGCGUAGUUCGGAAUUACUGGGCUUAAAGAGUUCGUAGGUGGUUAAAAAAGUUGAUGGUGAAAUCCCAAGGCUCAACCUUGGAACUGCCAUCAAAACUUUUUAGCUAGAGUAUGAUAG
rnacentral:rRNA from 1 species